ACUCUUUAGCAUGAGAACUGUUAUUUUCCUCUUGAUUAUUUACUCAAUUUAUAUUGAAUUUGUUGACCUUCUUGUCAUUUGAUGGACACAUGGUAUGCGUAAAUAUGGUUCUGCUGUUGGAGAAUACAUGGUGGUGUUUGUUGUGGUGGUUGCCAUGGGGUUAUUGAUUUCUUUGUGUGUAUUCACUUUGCAUUUUGUUUUACAAGUCACAAAAUUAUUUAGUUUGUACCGAUAUAUAUUAUGGAUUUGGGACUUUGAUGUGCAUUUGUUGCUCUGUUUUGUUCUCUCCUUUAAGCGUACCUACUGGUUUGAUAUUUCAAGGUAAGUUGUUUCAACAAUUUUACAUGUUUCAUUAGUGGGCACGAGAUUUAUAUUACUUUCUUUACAGUUUUUUUAAUCUUUCCUCAGCAUAGUUGUUUCAUAAGGUGUUUAUAUAUUUAUGGGCACUUGUAUAAUCUUCUAAGUGUUUUGACACAGAGCAUUCAAUUCGAAAGUUGUGUCUUCCAACAAUAGGUCAAUUAGCUUCUUAGCCAUGCUUCUCUAUUUGUAUAUAUGUAUGUCGAUGUGGGAAUUUUUCCCUUAAAGCAUCUAUCGAUGAAGACACAAGGCAACAGAAGAAAGGGUCUCGCAUAGCGAGGCCCGCAUGUCCGAACCCUCAAAAAAGCCAAGUGUGCAAGGUCUGUAUGGGUGAGAACCUCGAUAACAAAGCCUUACUCACCUUAGACCUAAGGCCUCGGCAUAAGGUUCAUUCUAGUAGAAGAGACCCUCGAAUAGAGAGGCCAUAUAUGCCUAUGUUUCUCGUACGCCUAGCUAGCCUAUAUGCCCAAGUGUCCCCCGUACACGAAGCCACAACCCAUGAGCACCUUGCAUCACUAGGCCCCUUAACUUGCAUCAAAAGGACUACGAGAGACUAAGCCAAACUCGCAUGACUCGCAAAGCAUCAUUUCGCCAGGUUGAACUCGCUAUGCGAGGCGCCUUCCCUUACACUCAGGGCUUCGCACAAGAUGUCACUUCUCAUCAUCUGUGCGCGCUAGAAUUCCUCGUGGCAAGGGCCUCGCUAUGUGAAAGCCUCACUAUGCGAGGUGCCUCUCCCUAAUGAGUGUUGCGCUAAGAUGGGCACCCGCCCCCUAAUGAAUAUACGUCAAUGUGCCAAUGCACAAGGGCCUCACUAUGCGAGGUCAACAUGCCUAGACGCGACUCACCCCCGCGGCCAUGCGCCACAUAGCCGGAAGGAAUAAGGGCCUCGCAUAGCAAGGCACAAUACGCACAUGUGCCAAGAUACACACCUGAAGAUGCGAAGCCUUGCCUAUCUGAGGACACCUAUCUUGUGCCCGAGACUCCACGUGGGACCUUGCAUCUCACCAACCCAAUGACCCGCGCGAGGCACCUUGUCCCGUCACAUGCUCCUCGUGCCUCGCAGAAGAGACCUUGCUUUCCUUCCUGAAGCAGGUGCCACCAGCGAGGCACACCCUCACCGUGGCUUCUCACUAUAUGUAAAGUCUGAAACAUCUGGAAUAUGUGUAUGAGGGACACUAGUAGAGACCCAAUCAUCACUUGGUGUCAAGCUAGAAUUGGUGAAGACAAUUGAGUAUGUUAUUCGUGAUAACUCGUAAGCUUUCCUACACUUAGCAAAAUGUAGGAAACUUGGAGAAAAGAUGUAUCUUGGAAAUGUGAAGAGGACCAUCAUGUACGAGUCACGCGUAUGUACGACCAUGAGGAGGACAAAGGCGGGACUUUGACAUCUAUAUCAAAAUAUUAGUGGUGGUAUGAAUCAGUACGAAGAGUGGAGACACUACCUGAGCUCCCCUGACCAUGUACCAGGGUCGACACCACAACCUUCUGCACCACUACCUUUGUGUCACUACCCUGACAAUGUACCUAAGUACAUUUUUGUCCCUUGGGACCACAAUGUAUUAGGAGCCAUUAGAGCUGAACUAUAAAUAGAUCUUCACCCAUCCAGCAAAAGGGUUGGAAAAUUGAUUGUAUACAUAGGUAGUUAAGCAAAAUAUGUGUUUUCCUCCAUUGUUAUUGUUCUACACUCUUCUUGUUCAAGAUUUUCAUAAAUUCUAUCUACCUAGUUUUCAUAAUACACUUCGAGUUUUCCGAUAUUAGAUCGUCGACGAGUUCUCACCGUCAACAGUUUGGGGCCAUCUGUGGGAAGGACAAGUAUCAAGUCACUAUUCUUCCAUCAAUUCCGAUAAGAAGAAAUGCAAGGCGUUCAAGACGCCUAAUGGAAUCACAAGACAUGGAGAUCCACCUGGACGGAGACCAACUAAGGGCCUCCAGGAGAAACCCUCCACCCCCUUAGAAUGGAGGUGCACUGAAGGAACAUCCAGUCCCUGAAGAGGAAAAGGAGGCAUCAUUCCCAGCUGUCCCACCUAAUAGAGAUCCUCCAAAAACCUUUAGCCACCUCCGUGGGUGUCCCGGGUAUGCACCCUCCUCCUUGACCAUCGACCGCUCCGAGAGUUGCGCAAAAUUAAUCAAAGGCUGGAGACCAUGUUAGAAAACAUGUAGGAGGUGUUGAACGACCUACUAGAAGGGAAGUCAAGCAUGCCUCUUCCCAAACAUAGGGAGGAAAAGCAUGGGAGAGGAGAAACCACCAUCCCCAAGGACGAUAGAAAAACCCAACUUUCCACUAGCCAUACUCCCCGGACAAAGCACCACGAAAGCCUUGGGCUAGCGAAGUACACCCAAGAGCAAAGAUGGAGGGGUCGUAGAAACGAAGUCGAGGAUACAUCUAAAGAGACACCUCCUGACCUAAGAGUGAAGCUCAAUAGAAGGCCAAAUGUAAGAACAAUGCCCCACAUGGCUCUUCUGGAAGACAAGAGCUAGACACCUUCGGAUUUGAGGGACUCCUUGAAUAUAAGGAGGCAAGAGCUAGACACCGAGAUGAGGAGCCUUUGAAGAAAACUAGUCACCACGUCCGAUGAAGAGUUUGGCUACGAGUCACCUUUCACAAGGGAGAUUAAAGUAGAACGACUCCCAGCCAACUUCAAAGAGCCUCACAUGACCCCUUAUGAAGGCAUUACGGAUGCCAAGUACCAUCUUGAUGCCUUCAACGACUUGAUGAAGUUGAGGUGCCAUUGCUUCACUGUCACGCUGAAGGGGCUACAUACAAAUGGUUUAAGAGGCUAAGGCCAGGUGCCAUCAGGUCAUGCCGGCAGUUUUCCGACGAAUUUCUCCAAUAGCACCGUGCAGUACGUGAUUACACCAUGUCGGGCACCAACCUCGCUAAUGUAAAGCAGGGUGAAGGCAAAAGCUUAAAAAGUUACAUUCAUAGAUUCAACGUGGAGGUGGCUAAGGUGGGAAGCCUAACUCGAGGAGAACUAAAAAGGCUAUCAGUGUCGGAGUGCGUCCAAGUAGCAAGCUAUGGGACGAUAUGCUCAAAAGCGAGGUCACUGACUAAGAGACAACUUCUAUGAAAGAGCACAAAAAUACAUCCUCGUCGAGGAUGGCCACGAGAACCUUAAGGCAGGAAAAAGUGAACCCUUUUUCAAGCUCUCAACCCUUGAAGGCUCAAAUGGUGUAAAGAAGAAGAGAGUGUAUGAAGGACCAAGGGACAACCACCAAAGAAAGCACAUACGUGGAGGUGAACCUAGGCAAACGCCAUACACCUUCUAUACAGACCUAACAGAUAUCAGGGAGCAUAUCUUCCCCAUAAACAAGAAUUAGGUGCCUUUCAAGAGACCCCCGCGGAUGAAGAGAGACCGAUCCAAAAGGGACCCUAGUAAGUAUUGUCAGCACCAUAAGGAUAUUGGCCACACCACAACUGAGUGUACCUAUUUGAAAAUAGAAAUCGAGGAACUAUUAUGCAGGGUGCACCUAGGCAGGUAUGUCAGAAGGGAAAACCCAGUACCAAAGGAUCAGCCAUCCUAUCCACAGGCUCGAGAGCGAGCCUCGAAGGUGUAGUAAGAAGUAAGAACGAUGUUCAGAGGUCCAGGAUUUAGUGGACAGUCGAGGAAGGGAUGGGAUAGAUAUGUCAGGGAAGCAAAAAGAAGUCUACCCCCGUGCACCAUGAGCCUGGAGUAACGACCCCCAAAGAGCUUUAAGGGGUAAAAUGAUUUGAUAACCUUCAUAGAGGAAGAUGCGCGAGGGGUGCAUUUCCCCCACAGCGACCCCUUGGUGCUGACUGUUGAACUGGCCAAUAUGAGAGUGCAUCGAGUCCUCAUGGACAAUGGUAGUUCUGUAGAUAUCUUAUAUUUCUCCACAUUUGAGAAGAUGGGAUUGGGAGUAAGGAACAUAAAACCCUUCCAUACCCCCUUAUAUGGAUUCACUGGGAACUUAAUACAACCUUUAGGAGACAUCGAGUUAGCCCUCACCAUGGGGGAGCAACCCAGACAAACCACUGUCAUGACGAACUUUGUUGUAUUAGAUUGCGCUUUGGCUUUCAAUGCGGUAUUAGCGGUGACAUCGAUAUAUCUCAUGUCCGUUAAAUUCCCAAAUCUUAGGGAGAUAGCAAGCAUAAAAGGAGAACAAAAUGAAGCAAGAGAGUGUUAUAAUAUCUCUCUCCGCACAACUACCAAGCCAUGAGAACCCAUGGCGAUGGUGAUACAUGGAGGCGCAAACCCACAUUCACACUUGUGGGUGAAUGACAUUGUCAUACCCCGAGCAUGGAAUGCAGAACAUCUCAUUAAAUAUUACCAGUAAGACUUUCGCAUCUAAUGCAUAAAUAUUUGUACCUUGUUUGUUUGCCUUAUGUUAAUUUCUGUAGUUAAAAAUCAAAGAGGUUGCCCAGAUAACCUUAUAGUAGAUGCAAUGUUGCCAUGCGUGCCUUUGUAAUCUGCUUUCUAUCAAUGAAAGUGUUUCCUAUCUCGCAUAUUACAUUUCUUCUUUAUGCAUGCACCUAUAUAACAAAUAUGCACACAUUGUCAAAAUCUAUGUUGAAGCGAAAUGAUCAAAGUGCUCAAUGGAAUGAAUCCCACCAAGCACUUGGGGGUAGGAUAGAAGGCAUAUAUAUUGCAAAAAAAAAAAAAAAAACCUUGUGAGGCAUCUCUUCAGUUCACGAGGGUUAGCUACCCUUAUGGAUGUCAAGGGAGCCAAAAGGUCCUACAGGGAUAACCUCGCAACAAAGGCUAGAUAUUUCCACGAGGAGCACGCUCUCAAUGAAGACAUCUCCUGAUAAGCCUAUAUUAUUUCUUGGAUUCAUAAGGAUUAGCUACUCUUAUGGAUGCCAAGGGAGCCAAAAGGUUCCAUAAGGACAACCUUAUGAUAGGCUAAUACCUCCAUGAGGGAUAAGGCCUCAAGGAGGACGCCCACCAAUAAGCCUAGAGCGGCCACCAAGCCGUCUAGCCAAAAAUUGUCCGACAAGAGACACUUAUGAAAAGAAGUAAAAAAAUUUCACGAGGAAAAACUCCUAAUAAAGGCUAAUACAUCCACGAGGGGUGAGACAUUAAGGAGAGCAUCCACCAAUAAGCCUAGAGCAGCCACCAAGCCGCUAGUAAAAAAUGGUCCUAAAAGAGACCCUUGUAAAAAUAAUACUAUGCAUAAUGACGAGAAAGACGAUUCUCGUACAAAAUAAAAAGUGCGCACAAAGAAUAUAAAAGGAUGCCAAGAACACAGGAUUGACAUGUCCUUAUAAGUAUAGUCAAGGUGCACCAAUAAGACUACGAUCAUCAGUCCAAAGAAGACAUAAAGAAUUCAUCAAAGAAGAGGGACUUAUCAAAGCCCCUUACGCAUGAUAACUAAAAGAGGUUGACAAAGAUUAAGAAGGCCAAUACAUCCUCGCAACCAGUACAAAGUUAAGCAAAUGUCCCAUAUAUAAAAGUUCUGCACACAAAGGCAAACUUAAAGGACCUCAGACGUAAAGAUUUCCACAUAUAACCAAAAGAAGUUCCAUGCAAAAGAAAAAAAAAACAUAUAGGGUUACACAACAACAAAAAAAUAUAAUAAUAAGCCUUGGAGAGGGGCCUAUGGGUUCCCACCCGACCUCUCCACUCGGCAAUCUUCUCAGUCGCAUACUCUCCAAAGGGGGAUGGUUGACAUCAGAAUUAGUCCUCCACACGGCAUGCAAUGUGCGCUCGACUAUGCCAUUCUCAGUGUUCAACAGUUCAACCUCAAGAGCAUUAAUCUUCUCAUUUAGGGUACGAAUAUUUUCUUCGAACCUGGUGUUAGAGCGAGAAGUCGAUGCGGCCUUGGCUAGUGCAGCAUCGCUCUGGCGGACUGCCUCAGCAAGUUGGCCCUCCAAGUCACUGACCCAUGCGGUCAACUCAUCUUUUUCUACCUUGGCCAAGGAGAGGUCCUUCAUCUCCCCUUAAGCUCGAACUGUAACCGUUGCAUUGAUGAGGAGCUCAAGGCGAAAAAACAGUGACCCAAGAUGGAAGGCUAAGAAAAACAAAGAAACAAAACAAAACAUCAAUGAUCAGGCGAUAUCAAAACUGAAAAAAAUUUCAUUAAGUGUUCUGACAUGCACUUGCAUAGAGCCUAGCAUAUAAGCCUCACCCAACUCGGCAUCUUGAGUAUCAUAUAAGACCCCCACUCGGCUUCUGAAAUAUUCCCCAUGUAGUGGCUCAUGGCCUCUCCGUACUGGGUUGCCAAAGGUUGCCCUCGGGAAGUGAAAGUAUGGGCUCGGCAGGGGGAGACACGUAUACCUAUUAAUGCAUGCCUAGAUAAGGAAGAGGAUCGGGAAGGUCCUGAUCCAUCCACGGAGGCACGAGGAGCGGAGUGGCGAGGAGUCUCCUCUUUAGGAGUGAGGCAUCCAAAGACGCCUGUCCCAAAUGCGCCCCCAAGGAUGGAAGAGCAUCGUCAAAGGAAGGCAGGAUGAAAUUCCUCUUCGGGAUAAGAGGAAUAGGACGGGUGUUGAAAGCAAACUCGCCACCUACUACCAGCGACGGGUUCGAGGAAGUGACGUCGUCCGUGCAUCCAUCAUCGACAACAUCCCCGACCCUGUUAGCCAAGGAUCUUAAGCAGGAAUAGUUCUUACACUCCACCUCAACCUCAUCUUCAGUAUCCAUAAGGUCACCGUCAGAGUAAUGAUAGUCUUCAUCAUCGUCAUCAUUGUCUAUGGUCACUGGGAUGGUAGACAUGGAUGAGACAGAGCACAAGGAAAUCGCUUGAUGAAGUCAGCACAGCCAGGACCUUCGCCACACGAUCGUGAGAUGCCAAACUCAAAGCAGGGCUGACAACCCCUUCAAGACCUAUGGUCAAGGAAAAGAAAUAAGUAUAGUUAGGCAAACCUUAGGAGGUGGGUAAAGACAAGUAAAGUAUAACAUAAAAAAAAUUAAUAUAUGUAUAUAUGUAGGUAGAAAAGGCUUGCUUGAUGUGUUGAAAUGCGUAUGCUGAGUAGAUACACUAUUGGGGAAGAAAAAACCGUUCUUCCACGAACCCCUAUUGGAAAUAGAGCCCACCACAAGGGGGUACCCUGUGGGAGCCACAACUUUCUGGAGCUGAUAGAAGCCAGGGGCUAUUAGGUUCACCCUCAGAGUGUACAGAUGAUGGACCUCAUUCAUGGAUGGCCCCCAAAGGUGCACUUGCUUGUAUAACACAUACAAACAACUCAGCACAACCCAAGAGUUGGGAGACAGCUGAAGAGUUGCUAGCUCGAAAUAGUAAAGUAUCUUAACAAAGAAGGGGUGAAGUGGCAGGACUCCUCCAGACUUGAUCACUGAGUCGCUAAAAGCUACAAGCCCCUCAAGGGGCUCAGAUGCACGGUCUUUACGAGUUGGAAUGACGAAGCUAAUUUCCGGUGAUAGUUGAUGGGCCUUCAUCUUGUUAGAAAGCUUAAUCCGGGUAAGAGUAGACUUGAUGCCUGCAUUCUCGGAAUUGUCAAGAUCUCCCUCAGCAAGUUUGAUAUAGGGAUAAAAACAUGUGGUUUCUGAGUUACUGACUUCAUCAACCCCCUAGAAGACCCUCUACAUGUCCUACGUCUACCUGCAUACUUCUUGACCCUGUUAUGUUCGGUUGUGGACAGACAAAGAAACGAGGGAAAAACCAUGGAGAGAAACUCAGGUUCAAAUGGAUCAUAAUCAGCACCUCGAUGGGUAGGACCCCAGAGUCUGGGGCAAGAUCGCCAUAGGAAGAUGGAGGAUCAGGUGGCAGGUUUUCCUCUAGGCAAGCGAUUUCGACUAUGCAAUCUUGAAGGGUUGAUUUUAGUUGGGAGACAUGUUUCAUUCCAUGGGGAGAAACCUAAACCCCCACCACUGGUAACAGAUUCGAGUUCACUCUAAAGGCCCUAUGCCUUAUGCCAGAGGUAGCAAAACCUCUGCAGGUAGAGCAUUCACACAACCGCAUUUACAGAGGGUUUGCAAAUAUCGGCCUCAGAGUCAAAAGAUGACAACUCGAUAGGCUCAACAUCAGGUGGGACUUUAAAAGACCAUCCAGAUGCCAUAGGCAAGCUAAGACUCAACGACAUGUGUGCGUGAAGACAACCCUAUAUCUACAACAUGAGUGUAAAGGGUGUAAGAUAGAGAUCCAUGUAUACACACCUAAUACGCCAUGGGAACAAAGAACUCUUAAGGAACAGGUACAUACUAACCUAUAGCCCUACCCUCGUAUAAAAGAUAAAAGAGACAUGCAUAUCACUGGGAGAGAAAAGUAUAGGGAAAUUUGAUUAAUCAUGCUUACAUUAGCUUAAUAAUUAAAAUUUGAACCAAAGUUAACCACCAUAUGAAACCAAUGCUCAUCUUUCAUUUAAUACCAAAAAUACACAUCUCAUAACAAAAUCUCAUACCUUUCCUCUCUAAAAUCUUGCAAGAAAGAUACACAUGGGUAAGUGAUUUUCUUUGAUUCUUGUUGUUGUUGAUUGUUUUUAUGAUUUAGAAUGUUGUUUAGAUGUUGGAUCUGUAGUUUGUUGGUAUUUUUUGCUGUUUUUUGGGUGAAAAUCGUAUUCUGUGAAAAUCUGUGUUUGUUUUGGUUCCUUGAUUAAAUGCCCGAUAGUGUCCGAUAGAGGCCCCAUUUGGGCAUGAUAGUUGUUGAGUUUCAAGGUUAGGGAUGAAGGUCCGAUGGCAAUUCGAUGGUUACCCGAUAUGUUUUGUUACCUGAUGGUCAUUCAGGUCCGAUGGCUACCCGAUGGUUGCCCGAUAAUUAUUUUGAAUAUAUACACCCUUUAAGUACGAUAAUGGUACAAUAGUAGUCUGAUAUAUGCCCGAUAGUGGGUAUUAAGUUACUGUGAACCUAAUAGUACGAUGGUACCUAUACGUGCCCGAUACAUGUCUGAUAGUACGAUGGUACACGAUGGUACACGAUAGUGAUAAAAAAACAUAAAUAAAAACUGUAACUUUUUCCCUGCCCAUUUCCCAUUCCCUCUCUGCCAAAACUUCACUCCCACAAAACCAUCGAGCAACCCAUAACUACCCUCACCCGACGCAUCUCUCCCCUCACCCGACGGUCUGAAAAACCCCCACCAUCCGACGAAGGAAAACCCAGACCACCGGAGACCAAGCCUCACCCAAACCCCAACCCCCACCGGAGACGAAGGAAAGCUCAAACCCCGAAGAAAAACCGACACCCCAUUACGCAAAAAUGUCUAGGGUUGAAGAUGAUUGUACGAUAGGAGUACGAUAGUGGUUUGACGUUGGUACGAUAGUUUUGUGUUUUCUGAUAACUUGAGGUUGAGGAUGAAGGUACGAUAGGGUACGAUGUGUGCCCGAUAUUGGGAACAAAUUGUUGUGUUGUUAUAAUCCGAUGGUAUACGAUGUGAGGUACGAUGGUGAACGAUAAUGUUAUAGUUCCAGUUUUUAUUUUUUUUCAUUGGUGUCCGAUAUGGUGCGAUAGUGUCCGAUAGUUGCUCGAUAGUAGAUUGCAGAAUAUAAAAUUUGAUGUUUUUUUUUGUUAUUCUAUUUAAUUGGGUAUUUAUUUGUUUUAUGCAGAACUUAAGACCUCCACAACUGAUAGUUCCAGUAGAGGAACAUUUUACGGGACGUAUCACUUGGCGCGGCAGUUGGUACUUUCCAAAGAUUAAAGCAAAAUUUAUACAGUGUGGUUUAUUGGAUUGGGUGAAGGAAUCUCCUUUCAAACAGUUCUUCAUGGAGAAACCAUUAAACUUUUCUGGUGCCUUAGUCCAUCAGCUGUUGUUGCACAAAUUCAGAGGGGAGAAGACUGACGAAGUCCAGUUUUAUAUUGGGAAAAAAACGAUGUAGAUUUAGCCAAUUGGAGUUCGCUUUAGUUACUGGUUUAAAUUUCGAGGCCGGACCGUCUGAAGCUGAGAUUAAAGCGAAGACCACUUCGGAUCGGUUGAUUCUUGAGUACUUUAAUGGUCACUCCCCAGUGAGCAUAGGGCAACUGCGCAGAACUUUUGAGAGUUGUCAAAUAGUUGAUGAUGUGUACAAGAUGAGUUUGUGUUUAUUAGUAGAGGGUGUUUUGAAAGGUCGUGAGGAGAAGUUGAUGGUUUGGACUGACAUGCUGAAGAUGGUAGAUGACGUUGACUUCUUUUUCCAGUACCCGUGGGGGAAGAUAUCAUACCAGAAGUUGUUACAAACUUGUCAAAAAGACUUUGUAGAAAUGGAGAAGCAUUUACUGAAGAAGAUUGAGAAAGGAAAGACUCAGAAGGAGGCCAAGUAAUCUAUUUAUAGGUAUGCUGCAGCAUUGCAGUAUUGGGCUUUUGAGUCCAUCAUUGAGUUGGGUCAGGAUUAUGCUGUGAGAUUGGGCCAAGACAUUCCAAGAAUGAUCAACUAGCAGAGCAAGGAGAAAGUAGAGAUACACAAAGAGCAACUUAUUAAGUUGUUUGCCAAAAAUUUGACAGUAUACCCCUACCUGUGUGCCCGACCUGCUGAAGAACAGUAUGUGAGGACCCUUACAGACAAUGAAGCCCCAUUGUAUGUGGACAUGGGGUUAGAGGAACUAGAUGUGGGUGCCGAAGGACAGCCUACACAGGAAGUCUUACAGAGCCAGACUGAAAAGCUUGCUGAAAAGUUAGCUGAGCAAGCAGAAGCAGCAAAUAUUUUUAAGGAGGUUUCACCACCUCCAGCACCUGAGGCACCUGAGGUUCCCCCAUCAGCAACUCAUGCCAGCACCUCCUCCCAAGCUGAGCAACCAAGUUACUGUAUGAUUUUGGCCAGGUUGGAAAAGGUUGAAGGACAACAAAGUGCCCUUAUUAAAGGUUAGUCCGAGAUCUUGGGUUAAUUGCAGAAGCUAAUCACAAUGAUGGAAGAUCUUAGUAGGCCAGCUCCAGAUCCACACCCUCAGUCCACUGAAGAAGGCCCUCAGUUUCCUGUAGAUGAAGACAUUCUCCCUAACGAUUACAAACCUGAUGAUGUAAAUGAUCACAUUUUUCGCACAGCAGAGGAUAGGCAAAUUACUGUAAUCGGAGAUACUGAUGAUUUUGAAGUACAAUUCUUAGACAUAGCUCCACCAGCACCGGAGAAGAGGAGAGAAAGAAAGAGGCCUAGGUGGUUCGAUGAGUACACUGCAAUGAAGAAAAGGAAUAAGAAAUCGAAGACAGCAAUGAAUGUGGAUCCAUUGAGGGUUGUUGAUGGUAAAUUACUUAUGACCUUUCACAAGUGGUUGCUUGGCACCAUUGGGAAUAAAUAUCCGAGGGAAUGCUUCUCAGGGACACACGAUACUGCUUGGUUCCUGAAACUGCAUACUCCGAGGACAUGGCUUUCUGACUCUCAUUUAGAUGUAGCAUUCCAUCUCAUGAGGAGGCGUCUAGAAGUUUAUCCUGACAUGUACUCUCAGAACUGUGUUGUUAUGCCUACAAUUUUUCCCGAAUCAUUGAAGGCUCGGUGGGACGCUUUUCCAGGUUCUGACUACUCUAGCUUUAGUUGGGAUGACAGUAUAUUGGACUUGGUUAGGGGUGAUGCAGUCCAGUUCUUACCGAGUUGGCAGAACAAGGAGUUCAUUUAUUUUGUCAUCUUCUUGAAAGACCAAUUGCAUUAGGUAGCUGUAGAGGCAGACCUGAAUGGGUGGAUGUUCAACAUCUUUGAUUCCAGUAUUGGAUCAAUUUCCGAAAACGAUUUGAUCAGUUUGAUGGUUGACUGGUGUACCAUUUUCCCGUCGGUCCGGUUUAUUUGAGAACCAUGACCUUAUACUCGCGCCUCAGUUGACAGCAUCAGAGAACCAGGUCAGACCCUUCGAUUGGAAACUCACUCCACGUGAAUUCGUACCGCAAACAAAAUCCAGUGGCGAUUGCGGAUGUUACGUAAUUGAGCAUAUCGAACAUAAGCUUCUACAACUACCAUUUGAUAAUGCAACUGACAAUAAUAUGAAAAUUUUUAGGCAAAGGUGGUGUGUAGACUUAUUCUACCAAAACUUAUGUUGAACAGCCUUAAUUUUUUUGAAUUGUAUAAUUUUUUUAUUGCUCUUUUUGUAAUUACUACAUUUUAAUGUGUUUAAUCUUUGCAAUCGUACUAUCAUCGAUCACUAUCGUA